CCUACGGGCGUCUGCAGUGGGGAAUAUUGGACAAUGGGCGAAAGCCUGAUCCAGCCAUGCCGCGUGUGUGAAGAAGGCCUUCGGGUUGUAAAGCACUUUCAGUGGGGAAGAAAGCCUUGGGGCUAAUACCCUCGAGGAAGGACAUCACCCACAGAAGAAGCACCGGCUAACUCCGUGCCAGCAGCCGCGGUAAUACGGAGGGUGCGAGCGUUAAUCGGAAUUACUGGGCGUAAAGCGCGCGUAGGCGGUCUGAUAAGCCGGUUGUGAAAGCCCCGGGCUCAACCUGGGAACGGCAUCCGGAACUGUCAGGCUAGAGUGCAGGAGAGGAAGGUAGAAUUCCCGGUGUAGCGGUGAAAUGCGUAGAGAUCGGGAGGAAUACCAGUGGCGAAGGCGGUCUUCUGGACUGACACUGACGCUGAGGUGCGAAAGCGUGGGUAGCAAACAGGAUUAGAUACCCUAGUAGUC
rnacentral:rRNA from 1 species